ACGGACGCUGGCGGCGUGCUUCACACCUGCAAGUCGAACGGAAAGGCCCCCUUGUGGGGUACUCGAGUGGCGAACGGGUGAGUAACACGUGAGUAACCUACCCUUGACUUUGGGAUAACUUCAGGAACCUGGGGCUAAUACCGGAUAGGAGCUCCUGCUGCAUGGUGGGGGUUGGAAAGUUUCGGCGGUUGGGGAUGGACUCGCGGCUUAUCAGCUUGUUGGUGGGGUAGUGGCUCACCAAGGCUUUGACGGGUAGCCGGCCUGAGAGGGUGACCGGCCACAUUGGGACUGAGAUACGGCCCAGACUCCUACGGGAGGCAGCAGUGGGGAAUAUUGCACAAUGGGCGGAAGCCUGAUGCAGCAACGCCGCGUGCGGGAUGACGGCCUUCGGGUUGUAAACCGCUUUCGCCUGUGACGAAGCGUGAGUGACGGUAAUGGGUAAAGAAGCACCGGCUAACUACGUG
rnacentral:rRNA from 1 species